AAGGGUAACAAGGUUUCCGUAGGUGAACCUGCGGAAGGAUCAUUACCUAGAGUUGUAGGCUUUGCCUACCAUCUCUUACCCAUGUCUUUUGAGUACCUUCGUUUCCUCGGCGGGUCCGCCCGCCGAUUGGACAAACUUAAACCCUUUGUAAUUGAAAUCAGCGUCUGAAAAAACAUAAUAGUUACAACUUUCAACAACGGAUCUCUUGGUUCUGGCAUCGAUGAAGAACGCAGCGAAAUGCGAUAAGUAGUGUGAAUUGCAGAAUUCAGUGAAUCAUCGAAUCUUUGAACGCACAUUGCGCCCCUUGGUAUUCCAUGGGGCAUGCCUGUUCGAGCGUCAUUUGUACCUUCAAGCUCUGCUUGGUGUUGGGUGUUUGUCUCGCCUUUGCGUGUAGACUCGCCUUAAAACAAUUGGCAGCCGGCGUAUUGAUUUCGGAGCGCAGUACAUCUCGCGCUUUGCACUCAUAACGACGACGUCCAAAAAGUACUUUUUACACUCUUGACCUCGGAUCAGGUAGGGAUACCCGCU
rnacentral:rRNA from 1 species